rnacentral:other from 1 species
ACUCCCCUGCGCGGUUUGUGUUGGACGGGUAAUUUUGAGCCAACACUAUUUGAACGGGAGCCCGGGUCCGAUCGCGGUGAGCUUCCUCCUCGCGGGGAGGCCUGAAGCGACGGCAGGGUUCCCAAUCUGGUGCGCCAGGUUCAAAUAGAUCCCUCCUCACGGCCAAGCGGGGGUUUG